GAGGAGGAGGGGGAGUAAGAAGUAAGAUAUAUUCUGUACGUGCACCUACUCCCCACAUUGAAUGUAGUCAUUGUGUACUGCAAACAUGUACUAAAAAAACGGUGAAUUGUUGUAAUUUAUAUCUAGCUGUCCCUCCAAAACCUCAUGAGCUCAGAGGGGGGCUUUUGGAAGGAGAUUGCAUUACUGCAAUCAUUACUGCUCAGAGGGGGGCUUUAUAGCUGACUUGCUGAUAGGAGGUAGGGUCUUGUUGGAAGAGGUGGUUGUCUGGGGGGCUCCUGGGGGGAUUAUUUCCCCCUGGGAACCUCCCUUCACUCUGCUCCUGUCUGCCAUGCUGUGGGCAGCCCUUGCCACUGUGCCCCUCUCCCAUGGCAUCCUGCAGUGGGUUCAGCUGACUAUGGACUGAAAUCUGAGGCAAACCAAACCCGUCCUCCCUUAAAUUGUCAGUGUCAGGUAUUUUGUCCAAGCCACAAGGCAAGUGACAAAGACGUGGAUCAUAGCUGUCUUGCAAGGCAGUUAUGAGAAUUAACAUAUGUGAAUUACAUGGUCUGUGUUUGCCAUUAGUCAUUACUUAAGCCUUAAUAUCUCUGAAAGUGUCAAGCAGUUCCAUGAAUUCAACUCUGUUUCUGGCAUUUAUUAACCUUAGAGCAGACUCCUGUGUUGUUUGCUUUUGAAAUAUUUUUCAUAUGUCUUCAUUUCUCAAUCUAAAAGUUCUCUCAAAAUGUCUAGUUCCUCCACAAUUCUGCUUCAGGGGUCAGGCUGUUCUUAUCCUCAGAUCCAUGUCAGAUCCAUGUUGGAAAUCCAUUUUUAAUCCAUUCCAGAUGUGAAGACAGCCGUGACAGCACAACUAAAGACAGUCACGGAAGAGGACUCCCAGACCUGCUUCAGAAAGCAGCAAGAAUGAUGGGUAGCACCAAGGGGAUUCAGAGUCACCGGCAUGGAAGAGAGUUGGAAGAGUUUGGAAAUCCCAAAGGAAACACUAAUUUGCUCCACAAAUUUGCCACCGUCAGCUUUUCCAGUGACCCAGCUGACACUUCAUUGCAGCUUUCUAGUAUCUCUUUAGUCUCUGUGGCUUUGUUUUCCCACCUUCAAAGUGAUAGAAAUAGCGUCAGGUCAGUGUUCUCGAAGAGAGUCUGCGCAAGUAUUCAUGUGAUUUAUUAUUCAUGAUAGCAUUGCUGUACACGCCCCAUGGGGUCAGGCAGUUAGGAGAGGGCUGUGCUUGAAAGCAAGAGGUUUAGAGCCACAGACGGUGGGCAGAAGCCCAGCUUCACUGUUUACUCCCUGAGCGACCUUAGGCAAGUCACUGACUCUUUUUGAAACUGUGCUUGCUCUCUCUGUAAAAUGACAGUAGUAAUAAUUUCUCCAUCAUAGGGCUGCCACACAAUUAAAUAGUCUUUGGUAUUUAAGUGCUCUAUAAAAAUCUUUUGUAUGAUGUUACAAGUAGUAAUGGAAGCCGGAUGUAGUGGCACACACCUGUAAUCCCAGCACUCGGGAGGCUGAGGCAGGAGGAUUGUCGUGAGUUCAAGGCCAGCCUGGGCUACAAAGUGAGUUCAAAGCCAGCCUGAACUGCAUAGUGAAACCCCGUCUCAAAAAGACAAAAAAAAAAGUAUUAAUGGAGACUAAAGGAGGUGGGGACCACAUUAGUAAUGAAAGUUCUCAAGAUAGAGAGAUGACACUUACUAGAGAAGCUGUAGGAUGCUUUUCUGAAGAAGCUCCAAGGCACACACACAUUGCUGCAGUUCCCAGAACACCUGCCUUUGCCAGGGCCCUGUGCUACAGCACAGUGGGUAUGCUGCGUAAGUGACAGGAACUGAUGACUAUGUUCCCUCUUUCAACCCUUCCUUCGCUAGCUACUAAACAGCAGAGGUGAAAAGCAACUGGCAGCAGGUGUGGUGGCCUGUAGUCCAUAGCUAGAUUGAGGCUGAGGCAGGAGGAUCACUUGAACCCAGGUGUCUGAGACCAGCCUGGGUAAUAUAGCGACACCCAACUAAAAACAACAAACAAACAAAAAAGCAGCAAAACAACGUCCUCACCAAGGUCUGUAAUAUAGAAGUAGACUGGAUUCAAAUCCUCAGUCUAAUGUUUACCAGUUUUUUAACCUAAGGCAAGGUUUCUCUGUCUCUCAUCUAUAAAGGAAGGAUAAUGAUCUGUACCACCCCACAGGAU
rnacentral:lncRNA from 1 species